CUCUAUGUCUGUACCACCUUGAACACACUGAUCUCAUCUGAUCUUGGAACUCUGAAGGGUUGGGCCUGGUUAGUACUUGCAGGUGAGAGUUAGAGCUGCCUGAGACAGGAGA
rnacentral:rRNA from 1 species